rnacentral:rRNA from 1 species
CCCUAUUAUUUUAGAAUGUUAAUUUUUUAUGUCUGAGUAGUAUUAGUUAUGUUCUUGAAACUUAAAGAAUUUGGCGGUAUCUCAUUCCUUCCAGAGGAAUCUGUCUCGUUAUCGAUAGUCCACGUUGGACCUUACUUAGUUGCUUUGGUUUGUAUACCGCCGUUUAUUGAUUAUCCUUUUAGGGUUGUUUUAAUUUUCUGGUUUCUUUAUUAUGAUUUAUUUCAGGUCAAGGUGCAGCUUGUUUCUAAGUGAAUGAUGGAUUACAUUGUUAUUUGUAUUUAUUGGAUUGUUGAUUUUUAUAUUGACAUGAAAUUGGAUUUGGCUGUAAUUGUUUGCAGACUGUUAUUGUGAUAUUGGUUCUGAGAUAUGUACACAUCGCCCGUCGCUCUCGUUUAGUUUAUUAAUGAGAUAAGUC